CGUUUCCUAAGAGAAGGCAGGGUUUAAUUGGGUAGAGCUCAACUUUAGACCUCCCAUGUCGCUGGUUCACACUCCAGUCCAGUUGGUGGCGGUAAUGCAUCACUAAUGUUGAUUGCCAACCGCGAUUUAAAAACCACAGAAGUGUAAACGGAACUGAACGGUGACCAAGAAAAAAAUGUAAAUGUUAGCGAUUUUAUUAGUUAUUUAGAAACUUAUUAACACACGAACUCAAAACAUGACUCUUAACUAAACAGCAUCACCUACUUACCCCCCAGGUAGUAUUUCAUUCGUGUUGGAGACAGGACUUGGGUGAUACAUCUGUUAUCUAGGUAACGCUAACGUUAGCUGCUAACAAUGGCUAACUGUAUGGUUUUUCACACUCAAAUAGCCUCCAUUAUGGAGGUGCUAGCAAAUGCAGCCGUGGCAGACAUCUGUAAAAUCGUAGACGACGACUAUGCAGUGUUUCGUUUGGAAAUAACUCAAAGCCAGAAAGAAAACAGGGUAUUGCAGAGGAAACUACAGCAACUCGAAUUGAAGAUGGCACGGGAGCGUGUAGAGAGGACAACGCGAGACCGCGUCGUCGCCAGUCGUCCCAGUAACGUUAGCGCUAAGAUCCUCGACCGAUACAGAGGGAUGGCAAGAGGUGAAGGACAUCUCACUGGAGGCCACAGAAGCUUUGUGAAGCCAGCGGAACACAAUACAUGGAGACAUGACCAACCAAUCAAUGUUGAUGAGGGGAAUGGAACCUCAACCCAGGAUGUUAUUGUGAUAGAGUCUGCAGAGGCUGCAGGUCCUGGGGUGAAGCAGGAGACAUCUGAAAGAGAGGAGGACCUACGGCACAGCAGAGACAUCCAGACUGGAGCAGCGCCUGGAGUGGUGCCCCCUGUAGCUACUGGGUCACCUGCCAACGUGCCCCAGGACAGGUCCCGAUGCAGCAUCACGGAGGAGGAGGAGGGUCCAGAGGUGCUGCUGGUGAAGGAGGAGGGGUGUGAGGAGGGUCUGUGGAACCCAGAAGGGACCAUGGUCAUAGAGGACAACCAGACUACACCUCCUCCUGAACCCGCAGAGGAACCAGCUGAGCAGCACAGGACCACACACAAUCUCACUGAGCCAGUAGACAUGGAGGAUGGGAAGCCUGAUCUGCUGCUGGUCAAAGAAGAGACAAUAGAAGACGAACCAGAGAGCAUUGACCUGAGUCAACUAAAGAUGGGGGAGCAAGGUGGUUGGCUGGAGGCUAACAGAGGAGACUGGGCAGCCAUAUUGGAUUCCCAGAUCCAGACGGAUGCAGCCAAGGGCCCAGGGAUCAACAUCACUGAGCAGGUCAGGAACAGAGGCGACAUAGUGGAGGUCAGUGGAUGGGACAGCAUCCUCAACUCUGGGCUGGGGAACAACACUGUUAACUACAACCAGAAACAGACAGUGGAACACAAAACGACAACCAAAAUUAGUCUCCAUGACAACAGACUGGCUGAGACCAGGGCGAGGCUUAGAUUUGGUCUGCGGGGACAGGGAGGUGUCCGUAAGACAACAGACACACACUCGGCUAGCGAUGCUCCAUCCUGCUCCUAUAGUUGUGAUUCAGAGAGACUGAUGACGCCUCAGGUUAACCCCCUACCAGGUGCUGCCUUCAGCCUGCCUUCUAUAGGAUCUAUCAACUGGAACAUGGACCCUGCGACGACACAGACACUCCCUGGCCUUAAUCCUCCUCACACUCUCCUAAUGUUAAACCAGACCUCGGACAAUGCCAGUGCCUCAACACUAAAUGGCUACACAAACCUAUUGACAAAUGACAGUAGUAGUAACACUAUCAGUCGGUCCAGUGGCAAAGAGAAGCGCUUCCCUUGUUCAUUCUGUGGGAAAACUUUCAGUUUUCCUAAACAGGUGGAGAUCCACCAGAGGAUGCACAUAGCAGAGACAUCGUUCAGCUGCCACCUGUGCCGGGCCUGUUUUUCACACUUGUCCAGCCUAAAGAGGCACCAGAGGGUCCACACAGGGGAGAAACCAUUUGAGCUGCCCCAGUGUGAGAAGAGGUUCUCGCACCAGCUGAAGAUGCACCUGAAGAUCCACACAAAAGAGCCCGUUCGCCUGUACGCACUGCGAGAAGAGGUUCUCAGAGAGGAGCUACCUCAGGAUACACCAGCAGAAAAUGCACACAGCCCAUGUGUAGUGACAUGUAAUUUAGUACUAGUUAGUUUGUAGUCAAUUCUGUUUGUUUUGGAUGUAAGUAGGGAAACUGAAUGAGGUGAAUUGAGGAAAGAAUGAGUAUGAUGAGACAGAGUUGAUGAUAUGGUGAUCGUUGGUGUGAUGGUGUCUCUAAAAAUGCUUCACUGAUGUAAAGUGAACCUUGUCCUGUUUUGAUGCUGGUGUUUUAUAAUGAGGAAAUGAUAGUGCCUUAAUUCAUGUUUACUUGACUUGAAGUAGUGAUGUGUCUAAUGUUGAACCUUUUCCAAAGUAUUCUAAAAUUAAUUUUCUCAAAGCGAGUGUCCAAGAGUUACAGAAAAAGUCAAGUGUUACCAUAAUGAAGUUAUUCUACUUGUUACAUGUUUUGUACAAUUAUAAAGUACUGUACUUCACUGUGUGAGUGUAUGACCAUUUUGUUGAAAUUAAAUACAACAUUGACUCUG